rnacentral:rRNA from 1 species
ACGCUCGACACCUACGGGAGCAGCAGUGGGGAAUAUUGCACAAUGGGGGAAACCCUGAUGCAGCGACGCCGCGUGAAGGAAGAAGUAUUUCGGUAUGUAAACUUCUAUCAGCAGGGAAGAAAAUGACGGUACCUGACUAAGAAGCCCCGGCUAACUACGUGCCAACAGCCGCCGGUAAUCUGAGCGGGCUGGCAAGGC